rnacentral:lncRNA from 1 species
AGCUUGCUACGACUCGUCUACACACGCUGUUGACAGACACCUGCUUUGAUGGGUUAUGUAUGCCUGUCCCUGUAAGGAUGUGCUACUUGGGUUUAUAACUAGCCAGGUCGACUAGGGUUCUCUGACAUAUUAUUGCUGGCGACAUAGUCAUAUACGUGAGCCAAAAGGCGCAAACGGUCCCGGCCAAGGUAAGCUGGCAGCCGUGGUGAUUACCGAGCGUGA